rnacentral:rRNA from 1 species
AGUGAACGCUGGCGGUAGGCCUAACACAUGCAAGUCGAACGGCAGCACAGAGGAGCUUGCUCCUUGGGUGGUGAGUGGCGGACGGGUGAGGAAUACAUCGGAAUCUACUCUGUCGUGGGGGAUAACGUAGGGAAACUUACGCUAAUACCGCAUACGACCUACGGGUGAAAGCAGGGGACCUUCGGGCCUUGCGCGAUUGAAUGAGCCGAUGUCGGAUUAGCUAGUUGGCGGGGUAAAGGCCCACCAAGGCGACGAUCCGUAGCUGGUCUGAGAGGAUGAUCAGCCACACUGGAACUGAGACACGGUCCAGACUCCUACGGGAGGCAGCAGUGGGGAAUAUUGGACAAUGGGCGCAAGCCUGAUCCAGCCAUACCGCGUGGGUGAAGAAGGCCUUCGGGUUGUAAAGCCCUUUUGUUGGGAAAGAAAUCCAGCUGGCUAAUACCCGGUUGGGAUGACGGUACCCAAAGAAUAAGCACCGGCUAACUUCGUGCCAGCAGCCGCCGUAAAAC